rnacentral:rRNA from 1 species
CCCGCUGAAUUUAAGCAUAUCACUAAGCGAAGGAAAAGAAACCAACAGAGAUUCCCUUAGUUGGGUUCGCCCUCCGGGA